AUCACUUCUCGGCCUUUUGGCUAAGAUCAAGUGUAGUAUCUGUUCUUAUCAGAAUUCUACUCAUCGUAACACUGCUACUGAUUCCUUAUGGGACUGAAAGGACUCUAU
rnacentral:snRNA from 1 species